GAUCAUGGCUCAGAUUGAACGCUGGCGGCAUGCCUUACACAUGCAAGUCGAACGGCAGCACGGGGGCAACCCUGGUGGCGAGUGGCGAACGGGUGAGUAACAUAUCGGAACAUACCCUAGAGUGGGGGAUAACGUAGCGAAAGUUACGCUAAUACCGCAUACGCACUAAGGUGGAAAUGGGGGAUUCGCAAGAACCUCAUGCUCAUGGAGUGGCCGAUAUCUGAUUAGCUAGUUGGUGAGGUAAAGGCUCACCAAGGCAACGAUCAGUAGCUGGUUUGAGAGAACGACCAGCCACACUGGAACUGAGACACGGUCCAGACUCCUACGGGAGGCAGCAGUGGGGAAUUUUGGACAAUGGGGGCAACCCUGAUCCAGCAAUGCCGCGUGAGUGAAGAAGGCCUUCGGGUUGUAAAGCUCUUUUGUCAGGGAAGAAACGGUGAGAGCUAAUAUCUCUUGCUAAUGACGGUACCUGAAGAAUAAGCACCGGCUAACUACGUG
rnacentral:rRNA from 1 species